CCUCCUCCUUCUCCACCUCCUCCCCAGCAGCGACGGCCACCGCCGGGCUGGGUGCGCGGCUCGGCUCCCUCACGCGGCCCCCGCCUCCCGCUCGGCUCCGGGGAGGACCCGGGAGCCGCCGCCGGCCUCCCCGCGGCAGCCACUCGGGGUGGAGGCUGCGCGCCUGCGCCUCCGCUGCUGCCUCCGGCGGGAGGCCGCGCCGGGCUCCGCCGCUCGGGGGGCGCCGGGGCUGUGGGUAUGGAGACGGCGUGAGGGAAGGAGGGAGGGACGGGGGCAGGAUGGAGGAGGAGGAGGAGGAGGACGGAGGAGGAGGCACGGGGCUGGGGGUGUGAGGGGAGGGAGGCGCCCGAGGGAGGCCGGCAGGGGGAGGGCGAGGCGCAGGUGGGCGGUGGGGAGGAUGGCGGGGGGGGGAGGGUGACAGAGGGACAACGGGGAGGAUCGGCCUCUGAAGCCGGUUAAAGGGUUGCGGGAGGGGAUGGGGGAGGCCGGGCGGCUGGCCAUCUUGUGGGGUCGGGGCGGGGGAACGUCGGCCAUCGGCCCCCCGGGGAGGGCGUUGGGAGCUGUGGAGGGGGGCAGCCGCCGGGCAGAGCCGGGGGAGAAGCGGGGCUGGGGGGGUUUGGGCGUAACAUGGUCCUGCCCCGCUCCAGGUUCCUCUGAAAGGCAGGGAGAGGAUGGUUGUCGUUGUACAUCCAGGAUGGACAGCAAGAACUUCACCUCUCCUUUUCUCCUAAACUAUAAAAACCUUUUCAUGCAGCCUUCUUGCUACACGUGUGUCGCUCAGCCCUGCAUUCACCACACCAAAUACCAGCAGCAUGCUGCUGUGCCACACGUUAGUAUGAGCUGCACAAUAAGCAGAAGUAAAACCUCCACAUCCUGCAGGUCAUUUAAAUUGGAUUCUGUAUGAAGAGUCAUCUGCAAGAAGCCCAAGAUGAUGCAUCUCUCCAUUUACACCUGCAGAAAUCCACAAGAGAUUUAUAACUAAGACAUAGCCUGAAGAAAGUUAAUAAGGUUGCUAGUGGUCUGCAUCACUAACGAAAAGGCUAUGGAUGAUUCUAGUCUUUUCCUUCAGGCCUUGAUGAAACCUGGAAAUGUCAGAAAGUUGAUUUUUCUGCAGGACCAGCAGCUAUAAGUAAAAAAGAGGAGAAAAAUUGAGGAAAAAAAUAGAGAAAGCCACUGACAAGAACUGCUACUGGUUGUGACUAAUCCGUUGCAAGCUUACAUUUGCUUGCAUCUUAAUGGAUCUUUUAACCUAAUUUACUGAGUCUAUUUCUUUUUAAUUGACUUUCAUAAAAGUUCAGGUAUUUUUUCAUGAAGUACACGAAGAUCAGCUAGGAAAGCUACUAUCAUCUACUGUAGCAAUACAGCAAUGUGGAAUUCAGUUUUUCUGAUUAAAAAUAGGUGCAUAAAUCAUAAGAAAUAAACCUGAAGUAUCUCACA
rnacentral:lncRNA from 1 species